ACAUGCCUACAACAUAAUGUUAAUGCAUUGGAUCCCAUUAGAACUCCAUAGUUAAGCGUGCUCAGGAUAGAGUAGUACUAGGAUGGGUGAUUGCAUGGGAAUUCCUAGUGUUUUACAUGCC
rnacentral:rRNA from 1 species